UGCUGCUACUUCAUGUAAGUAUUCUGUUGUGUGAGCAUUUCCUGAUGUAUUGAUUGUUUCUGUAAGGAAGACAUUCCCUUCUUCUGUUGUCACACAAGCAGGUAAAACAGGAUCAUUGUGGACAUUG